CACGCCGUAAACGAUGGGUACUAGGUGUAGGAGGUAUCGACCCCUUCUGUGCCGUCGUUAACACAAUAAGUACCCCGCCUGGGGAGUACGGUCGCAAGACUAAAACUCAAAGGAAUUGACGGGGGCCCGCACAAGCGGUGGAGUAUGUGGUUUAAUUCGACGCAACGCGAAGAACCUUACCAAGGCUUGACAUUGAGUGAAAGGCUAAGAGAUUAGCCCCUCUCUUCGGAGACACGAAAACAGGUGG
rnacentral:rRNA from 1 species